rnacentral:misc_RNA from 1 species
GUAUAUAAAUUGCGUUAUAGCAAAGUAUGACAUUCUAAAACUGAAUCGUUUGUAGUAAAGCAUAAGCCCGACACCUACAAGUGCGCGAACGCACCCACAAGCCGGCCUAUGAAAAGUGCACAGAAGUUGAGAGUGGAUGAGACAGGCGUGCACAUGCCCUUGCGAGCCAGCAGACAACCCGUUCAAAACUCGAUAAUGAUCCUUCCGCAGGUUCACCUACGGAAA